rnacentral:tRNA from 1 species
AUUUAUUUAGUAUAAAAAGUACUAUUAACUUCCAAUUAAAGAGUCUAAAUUAAAUAGAAUAAAUA